GAAUAUAUCUCAGAGGGAGAGCACUUGCUUAGUAUGCAUGAGCCCCUGGAUUCUAUCCCUAGCACUCCAAAGAUGGAAAAAAAAAAGAGCAUUUACUUUUAAAAUUAUUUCUUCACAUAUCUAACAGAUCAAAGAUUUAAAAAUAAACUGUAAUUACUUCUCAAGUCAAAACAUUUAAGGAAGAAGCAGUACCAAUCCCACACAGAUUCCUCCAGAGAGUAGGAGAAAAAGAAGGAAAACACCAUUGAACCAUCCUCUGAGGUGAGCAUAACCCCAGCCCCAGUGCCUGGCUCCAAUCCCACAAGGAUACCACAUAUACAUUAUACCCCACAAGAAACCCAUAUAGAACACUAACUAGUUGGCUUCAGUUACUCCCCAAAAGAACAACUUUUAGGACAAAGCUGGAUCUGUUCCAGGAAGACAGGAUUCGUCCAACACUUAGAAAUCAGUGCAAUUCACUGUAUCAGCAGAACCGAUAAAAACCACAUAACAGUGUCAACAGAGUUUUUCUUUUAACAAAAUUAUGAAAAUUUUAAAGAUAUUAAGCACCAUGAAUUCCCAUUUGUCCAACAGUUAUCAAGGGUAAUUUUUUCUCUGUUGAUAUAUUUUAAAGUAAAUCCUAGACUUGAGGUAGAGACACGAGUACAGAGCAUCUGGUGGUUGAGGUGAAGGGGGUGUCUUGGUCCUCUAACUGCUCUUCCCUCCCAUUCCCUGGUAACAGCUGCAUCUCUCUGAGUACACUUGGUGUGCUAAGUGGUUUAUGUUCAUAAUUUCAUUUCAUCCACAUCUCACACUCAUUUAUCAGUGAGAAAACUGGGGCCUCUUGCCUGAAUCCUAUGUACAAGAUCUUUCAAAGGACCAUAGCACUUACACAAAUGUUGCUUUUAUUUAUGGAUAAGUAGUGAUCCAUUGAAUUCUAUAUUCUAAAUCCGCUUAGAAUUACUCUGUUUUCCUGUAUGAUUAAAAUGAGACAGAAUAGUAAGGUCUUUUUGAAAAACAGACUAUUCAUUGAAGCGAGUGGAGAAAAGCUACACGAGACACGGUGAUAGACUGAGAGAAGAUCAUCAGAUGAGACUACAGAAAAGACAGCUGAACCGUGCAAAGGCCAGGUGGUACAAAACAGGAUUGGUGCUUGGGAAAACUGCAUGAUGCUCAGAACGGAGAGGCGAGAAGGGGCGUUAAUGUGAAAGGCUGAAGAUCCCUGCAUGACACAUCAAUUGUGUUAGUGUAUCUGAGGAACCUCCGAAGGCUUUGGGGCACCACCGAGUAGGAUCUGGAGGUAGAUCUGACUCAGAUUCCCCACUCUCUUGCUGAACUUUUCUAAUCUAUGACUGGGGAUAAUAAAACCCAGAUAGUAGGUUUUUACAGAACUAGAAUGUAUAUAAAAAUUCCUGCAUUUGGAAUGGGAUAAAUAAGUGAUAGCUACUAGAUGACAACUGGAGAUUAUGAUCAGGUUUUGAUUUUGGAACAAUUACCAGCAGCAAGAUAGAGAAUGGGAUAGCAAAAGAGCAGGUGAAAAAUGAUGGCCUAAAUUAGGGCAGCAAAGUUGGGAUAGAUGAACCCUGUAAUAACUAGAACUGAAAAGUUUAAUAAUGUUUAAAGUCCAGAAAGGGAAUUCUUCACCUUUCAGCUUAUAA
rnacentral:lncRNA from 1 species